CCUACGGGGGGCAGCAGUGGGGAAUAUUGGACAAUGGGCGAAAGCCUGAUCCAGCCAUGCCGCGUGUGUGAAGAAGGUCUUCGGAUUGUAAAGCACUUUAAGUUGGGAGGAAGGGCAGUAAGUUAAUACCUUGCUGUUUUGACGUUACCGACAGAAUAAGCACCGGCUAACUUCGUGCCAGCAGCCGCGGUAAUACGAAGGGUGCAAGCGUUAAUCGGAAUUACUGGGCGUAAAGCGCGCGUAGGUGGUUCAGUAAGUUGGAUGUGAAAUCCCCGGGCUC
rnacentral:rRNA from 1 species